UGACGGUACCAUCAGAAAAAGCAACGGCUAACUACGUGCCAGCAGCCGCGGUAAUACGUAGGUUGCAAGCGUUGUCCGGAUUUACUGGGUGUAAAGGGCGUGUAGGCGGAGCUGCAAGUCAGAUGUGAAAUCCCGGGGCUCAACCCCGGAACUGCAUUUGAAACUGUAGCCCUUGAGUAUCGGAGAGGCAAGCGGAAUUCCUAGUGUAGCGGUGAAAUGCGUAGAUAUUAGGAGGAACACCAGUGGCGAAGGCGGCUUGCUGGACGACAACUGACGCUGAGGCGCGAAAGCGUGGGGAGCAAACAGGAUUAGAUACCCUG
rnacentral:rRNA from 1 species